CGAGCGAAUGGAUUGAGAGCUUGCUCUCAAGAAGUUAGCGGCGGACGGGUGAGUAACACGUGGGUAACCUGCCCAUAAGACUGGGAUAACUCCGGGAAACCGGGGCUAAUACCGGAUAAUAUUUUGAACUGCAUGGUUCSAAAUUGAAAGGCGGCUUCSGCUGUCACUUAUGGAUGGACCCGCGUCGCAUUAGCUAGUUGGUGAGGUAACGGCUCACCAAGGCAACGAUGCGUAGCCSACCUGASAGGGUGAUCGGCCACACUGGGACUGASACACGGCCCASACUCCUACGGGAGGCRKCASUAKGGAAUCUUCCGCAAUGGACKAAAGUCUGACGGAKCAACGCCKCGUGAGUGAUGAARGCKUUCKGGUCGUAAAACUCUGUUGUUASGGAAGAACAASUGCUAGUUGAAUAASCUGGCACCUUGACKGUACCUAACCMKAAAGCCACGGCUAACUACGUGCCAGCAGCCGCGGUAAUACGUARGUGGCAAGCGUUAUCCGGAAUUAUUGGGCGUAAAGCGCGCGCAGGUGGUUUCUUAARUCUGAUGUGAAAGCYCCACGGCUCAACCGUGGAGGGUCAUUGGAAACUGGGAKACUUGASUGCAAARKAGGAAAGUGGAAUUCCAUGUGUAG
rnacentral:rRNA from 1 species